ACCUUGCUGCAAGCGGAAUAACUGAAUGCUGAAUGUGUCGGUGGUCUUUAAAAGGGCUUGCAGAGCAGUGCAAAAGUCAAAUCUGUUUCAGCUACGGCCACACGAUGAAGGGACUUACAAUUAUCUCGCUUUUGCUUGUAGCUAUCAUGGUAUCCACAGCCGCUGCUCAAGGUGGGAUUUCAAGUUGUUGUCAGAGAACCUCGAACACCCAAAUCCAUCGAGACCUUCUGAAGAGUUACUACAUCCAGCAGCCGCCGUCGUGUUCUAUACCUGCAGUGGUAUUCACCACAAUUAGUGGCAGGAGAAUCUGCUCAAACAGUACGAAAACAUGGACGCAGGCCAGCAUGGCCUAUCUUGAUGGAAAAAACUGGCAAAAACAAAA